UCGCGGUUAGUGGUUAGGCCACAGCGCUCUCACUGCUGCGGCCCGGGUUCGAUUCCUGGCCAGGGAA